UUUAGCAAGGCACUGUAUGUGGCAAAUGGAGACCGACAGCAAGAAGACUUGCUGGCAAACAAGGACAAGUGGCAUCAGAGCCGGUGCUGACUGCCUCGAGCUGUCUUGUUGGAUCUUUGUGCUGUUUUGGACCCAGUGUUGCAGAGGAGCACUUGGAGA